rnacentral:rRNA from 1 species
UCAAUAAGCGGAGGAAAAGAAACUAACAAGGAUUCCCCUAGUAACGGCGAGUGAAGAGGGAAGAGCCCAAGAUUGGAAGCUGGCGUCUUCGGCGUCCGCAUUGUAAUCUCAAGAAGUGUUUUCCGCUCCGGACCAUGCCCAAGUCCUUUGGAAAAAGGCAUCAUAGAGGGUGAUAGUCCCGUCCAUGGCAUGGAGCGCCCGGAGCUUUGUGAUACGCUUUCUAAGAGUCGAGUUGUUUGGGAAUGCAGCUCAAAAUGGGUGGUAAAUGCCAUCUAAGGCUAAAUAUUGGGGAGAGACCGAUAGCGAACAAGUACAGUGAUGGAAAGAUGAAAAGCACUUUGAAAAGAGAGUUAAACAGUACGUGAAAUUGCCAAAAGGGAAGGGUAGGAGGUCAGAGAUGCGUCUUGGGAUUCAGCCUUGCUUUUUUGCUUGGUGUUUUUCCCAAGCUGCAGGCCAACGUCGGUUUUGGGCACUGGAGAAGGGUGGAAGGAACGUGGCACCCUUCGGGGUGUGUUAUAGCCUUCCACUGGAUACAGCGACCGAGACCGAGGAUAGCAGCGUACUCGCAAGAGCGGGCCUUCGGGCACCUUUACGCUUAGGGCGUUGGCAUAAUGGCCUUCUACCACCCGUCUUGAAACA